rnacentral:rRNA from 1 species
CCUACGGGUGGCUGCAGUGGGGAAUAUUGCACAAUGGGGGAAACCCUGAUGCAGCGACGCCGCGUGAAGGAAGAAGUAUAUCGGUAUGGAAACUUCUAUCAGCAGGGAAGAAAAUGACGGUACCUGACUAAGAAUCCCCGGCUAACUACGUGCCAGCAGCCGCGGUAAUACGUAGGGGGCAAGCGUUAUCCGGAUUUACUGGGUGUAAAGGGAGCGUAGGCGGCGAUGCAAGUCAGAAGUGAAAGCCCGGGGCUCAACUCCGGGACUGCUUUUGAAACUGUGUUGCUAGAUUGCAGGAGAGGUAAGUGGAAGUCCUAGUGUAGCGGUGAAAUGCGUAGAUAUUAGGAGGAACACCAGUGGCGAAGGCGGCUUACUGGACUGUAAAUGACGCUGAGGCUCGAAAGCGUGGGGAGCAAACAGGAUUAGAUACCCCUGUAGUC